GAAAAAGGCAGUGCUGGAGCAAGGACCGGCACUAUCAGUGUGAGGAUUGCAGAAUACUCCAUCAAUUCUCCUUUUUUAUCCCCCAGAGAAAAUCUCAGCUGUCARAYUUGGAGCAAAAGAUGUGGAAAUGGGAGUUCCUCCCAAAAGGCCCCAAGGAAAUGGAAUCCACCCCUCUAGGAAGGCUCUCAGUCUGGAGAUGAAGCUCAACUUCCURAAAAAGGCACUGCAAAACACCAUCUCCUCCUCUCAAUCUUCCUCUUUCUUCAGGAAACCAGUGAACAGGAAGUGUGCUACCUCAGCAUCCAGAUUUGUUCUAUCCCCAAAAUUCUAUCCUGGGAUCAGCAAAGGAUCCAUGUGUCCUCCAAA